UACGGGGGGGGCAAGCGUUGUCCGGAAUUAUUGGGCGUAAAGAGCUUGUAGGCGGUUUGUCGCGUCUGCUGUGAAAUUUCGGGGCUCAACCCCGAACUUGCAGUGGGUACGGGCAGACUAGAGUGUGGUAGGGGAGACUGGAAUUCCUGGUGUAGCGGUGAAAUGCGCAGAUAUCAGGAGGAACACCGAUGGCGAAGGCAGGUCUCUGGGCCAUAACUGACGCUGAGAAGCGAAAGCAUGGGGAGCGAACAGG
rnacentral:rRNA from 1 species